GUCUACACUGGCCAGGGUUCUGGGUAUAGUUGUGCCAGGUCACAGGCUGUCAACUUUGAAAAAGCCCUUGGUGCCCUCUCAUGACAUGGGUGUAAAUCCCCAAACAGGGCUGGACUCAUAGCUUCCCAGAAGUGAUAGUUUCUUUUCCUCAUCGACGAGGGUUUACAGUCAGGGAAACAGAGGGUAGAAAUGGGCAGUACCCACCCAAAGCUGUUCCUCUCUGGGUUCUCUGGAUUUGUCCAAAGGAGAAUAAGUUCACCGUUGUCACCCCUCACCCCAAACAAAAGCCACAAACAUGCUAGGGGGCCCCAGAAUGCUCCAUGGGAAAUCCAGGCCUCAGCAGCAACCUGGAAAAGGCCCAGACCACCACCUGCCCGAGAGGCCCACCACACUGGAGGCAGGACCACGGUCCCCUAUUUGAUCUCUGCCAACAGUUGGACUCUCUGCCUCUUGCUGUGUCUGUUUCUACCUGUCACCAUUUUUUUAAGGGGCAAAGUUUUAAUUGGCUCACAGCUGUCACCGUUCUUGUCUCCCCAGGGGUUUGGUUACCAGUAUCAGCCCCAUCACACCCAGAGCACCCGCCUGGCCAAGGGACCGGGCUCUUGUUUCUGGUGCAGGAGGCACAGGCCCACCCUCCACAUUCUCACCGCAUGUUAGAGGUUGUUCCUGAGGGCACAGACAGAGCAGGCUUCCUGAAGGAGGCAGCUGUGCAGCCCACAGAGUUUCACAGCGAGGAUGCCUGAGGAGCUUGUGCAGAUGUCUGCCUUAGCUCCCUCAUGGUGACAGAGUGGCCCUGGGAUGCCUUUCUGGAGGCUACAGGGUGGAGGAGGGAACUUCAUGGAGGCAUCUGGGUUGGAGCACAAGGCUGGAGGAGUUGCAAUGGAAGUGUUCUGUGAAGCCUAACUCGGUUCCUGAACAAGCAGCGAGGUACCAGCUGCAGUGUAUGCAUGACAGGCUGGAAGGACCCUGCUACUGCAAGGCAGGCGGCAGAACCACUGAGCCAAACCCCGGCCCCUGACAGGAUUUUCUCUUCAGAUCUACCAUGCAGACCUCCUCAUCUGUCAAGGACUACUCCCUCCCCAGCCCUGAGGCUGACCGUGGAUCUCUCAGAAUAAAGGCCAAAGUCCUGCAGUGC
rnacentral:lncRNA from 1 species